UUCCAGAGACCCGGAUCCUGGCUUCUCGCGAGCUUUCGAUGACGCAAUAUUUCCACGCCGGGUUCGCGGCUCUUUACCAGUAGUAGCUGUUUUUCCGCCUAGCUCCGUUUGACAGAUGAGUGCUUUGUUUUUCUUCCUUUCGCGGGAAGGUGUAAAAUGAUUCACAUGCUGAAGCCCUGAAACCCACUGUGGCUCUAUUUGGAGAUGGGAUUCCUAAGGUGUCUUCUAGAAACAGACCAAUGAAUCCACAAUAACCAUGUAACAGAAGGAAGAGGAUCUCAGCAAAGGCCAAAGAGAAAAAAGGAAGGGAGACUGUGAAGAAAAAGGACUGAUGGGGAACAUAUGCGUUUAACUCUACAAACUUUUGGACUAUAUGAAACUUAGAGAAU